UACGUAGGGGGCAAGCGUUGUCCGGAUUUACUGGGCGUAAAGCGCGUGUAGGCGGCUUGGUAAGUCCGCUCUGAAAGCCCGGGGCUCAACCCCGGGAGGCGGGUGGAUACUGUCAAGCUCGAGUCCGGAAGAGGCGAGUGGAAUUCCCGGUGUAGCGGUGAAAUGCGCAGAUAUCGGGAGGAACACCAAUGCGAAGGCAGCUCGCUGGGGACGUGACUGACGCUGAGAGCGAAAACG
rnacentral:rRNA from 1 species